rnacentral:lncRNA from 1 species
CCCCCUCUGCCUAGAAUAAUAAGGGGUUCUUGGACUCUCCAUCAAUAGGUCCUGUCAGACAAGCCAUCUGUAUCAUUCCAGGUCCUGGCAGGAAACAGAUGGCACCCUCAGAUUGAGUAAAUUGAGAAGAGUUUAAUAAAGAGACUAUUUACAAAGGAAUAUCAGGGUAUAGGGAAACCACAGGCCAGAAGGAGCAGAAGGAGAGAGCAAUCACUGGAAACUGGAGAGAGAAAAUCCUGUGAAGAGGGCCUCUUGACAGGAGCUGUGGCUUUUGGUCCAGGGACACAGCCAGCCAGCUCUCAAGAAGAUUCUGAAUUCCAUUAGGACAACUGAUGCCAACCAGUUUGAAGACCCCCACAGAGGAACCGAAUCAGCAUGAGAAUACAGCUGUUUCUUCUCCCUGUCCCAUGACUUCACCCUGCACUCUUCAACCCAUCAACAAUUCAACACUUCGGCCUCCUCCAACACCCUUGAAAUCCCUAGCCCCAAACUCCUCAAAGAUAUGAAUUUGAGGUUCCUUUCCAUCUCCUCAUUUGGUGACCCUGCGAUUAAACCUCUUUCUCUGCUGCAACCCAGUGUCACAGCCUAUUGAUUUGUCCCUCACAUUGGGCAACAAACCUAUUACGGUUACAAGUGAGGUUUCUUUUUCUUCCCCAUCGUUUCCUACUCCUUCAACUUCCUUAAAGCAAAAAGGGCAAUUUAUUCCUGGGUGUUUCAUAAAACACAAGGGCAGGAUAAAGCGG